ACAGUGGAAGGGUCCCUCCCAUACCCCUCCCCUGUAAAAAUAUGAAGAUCUAAAUAUGGGAUCCAGGGUGUUAGCCAGCCCCCCGGGCAAUGUACACUUAUUCAGAAAUACAUAUAAUAAAAUUAUAACGGUUUUUCUCAAUUUUCACCGGGCUAGCUAAAUAUGUUCCGGGUCUUGUAACAUAAAUUCCUUUUGACAGUGGAAGGGUCCCUCCAAUACCCCUCCCCUGUAAAAAUAUGAAGAUCUAUAUAUGGGAUCCAGGAUGUUAGCCAGACCCACGGGCAAUGUACUCUUAUUCAGAAAUACAUUUAAUAGAAUUAUAAAGGUUUUUCUCAAUUUCCACCGGGCUAGCUAAAUAUGUUCCCGGUCUUGUAACAUAAAUUCCUUUUGACAGUGAAAGGGUCCCUCCCAUACCCCUCCCCUGUAAAAAUAUGAAGAUCUAAAUAUGGGAUCCAGGGUGUUAGCCAGCCCCCCGGGCAAUGUACUCUUAUUCAGAAAUACAUAAAAUAGAAUUAUAAGGGUUUUUCUCAAUUUUCACCGGGCUAGCUAAAUAUGUUCCCGGUCUUGUAACAUAAAUUCCUUUUGACAGUGGAAGGGUCCCUCCCAUACCCCUCCCCUGUAAAAAUAUGAAGAUCUAAAUAUGGGAUCCAGGGUGUUAGCCAGCCCCCCAGACAAUGAACUCUUAUUCAGAAAUACAUAUAAUAGAAUUAUAAGGUUUUUUUUUUUAAUUUUCACCGGGCUAGCUAAAUAUGUUCCGGGUCUUGUAACAUAAAUUCCUUUUGACAGUGGAAGGGUCCCUCCAAUACCCCUCCCCUGUAAAAAUAUGAAGAUCUAUAUAUGGGAUCCAGGGUGUUAGCCAGCCCCCCGGGCAAUGUACUCUUAUUCAGAAAUACAUAUAAUAGAAUUAUAAGGUUUUUCUCAAUUUUCACCGGGCUAGCUAAAUAUGUUCCCGGUCUUGUAACAUAAAUUCCUUUUGACAGUGAAAGGGUCCCUCCCAUACCCCUCCCCUGUAAAAAUAUGAAGAUCUAAAUAUGGGAUCCAGGGUGUUAGCCAGCCCCCCGGGCAAUGUACUCUUAUUCAGAAAUACAUAUAAGAGAAUUAUAAGGGUUUUUUUUCAAUUUUCACCGGGCUAGCUAAAUAUGUUCCCGGUCUUGUAACAUAAAUUCCUUUUGACAGUGGAAGGGUCCCUCCCAUACCCCUCCCCUGUAAAAAUAUGAAGAUCUAUAUAUGGGAUCCAGGAUGUUAGCCAGGCCCACGGGCAAUGUACUCUUAUUCAGAAAUACAUUUAAUAGAAUUAUAAAGGUUUUUCUCAAUUUUCACCGGGCUAGCUAAAUAUGUUCCCGGUCUUGUAACAUAAAUUCCUAUUGACAGUGGAAGGGUCCCUCCCAUACCCCUCCCCUGUAAAAAUAUGAAGAUCUAAAUAUGGGAUCCAGGGUGUUAGCCAGCCCCCCAGACAAUGAACUCUUAUUCAGAAAUACAUAUAAUAGAAUUAUAAGGUUUUUUUUUUUAAUUUUCACCGGGCUAGCUAAAUAUGUUCCGGGUCUUGUAACAUAAAUUCCUUUUGACAGUGGAAGGGUCCCUCCAAUACCCCUCCCCUGUAAAAAUAUGAAGAUCUAUAUAUGGGAUCCAGGGUGUUAGCCAGCCCCCCGGGCAAUGUACUCUUAUUCAGAAAUACAUAUAAUAGAAUUAUAAGGUUUUUU